rnacentral:misc_RNA from 1 species
UUUCUCCUUCCAGUUUGGAUGACCUUACUUUGAGUCAGCAAGGUAUUUUGUGUAUGUAAAAAGAAAACCCAUGGACAGCCAUUCACCUGUACGGAACUUCAGAUGAACUAGGACAACUAGAAUGAAGAUUGUGAUAAAGUUAUCUGUUUCACUUGUAACCGAGUUGAUUGAUUGUAAAUGUAUGGACAUCAGUAAUUGUUUAUCAUAUGAGAAACCUUGAUCCAUUUAACCAAGACAAGUGAUGUCUGAGAACUUAAUCAUCACACAUGAUUCUUUUUGCUCAUUUUGAAAGGCUGUCUCCAAAUCACUCGUCUUAUGCUUAACAUUAAGGACACAUGCAUUGCUCAUAUUUUUAUCGAUCAGUUUUUGAUUAGACAGUGAUGCUUUGUAAGAAAAGUUCUCGUUUGUUACAUGCUUUAUUCCUUUUGCCUGAUGAAUUGCACAGUGAAUUAUGCGCGAGAUGACAAAUACCAUAUCUUUAGUAUCUAAAGAAUUCUGUUUACAAUGAAUCGGCAUUGAUGUGUCACUCAGCAGGUGCGUGCGUUUGUUGUGUGAUAUAUAUUUUAAUGAGUUUGGUUUUAUUUUUAUUCUCAUAUCAGACUUGUUUUUCUGUAAGCCAUGCAGCUAUUACAAGGUAUGUAUUACAAGACCUGUGAACGACUACCAUGUACCAUGUUUAUUAUGAUCAGAUUAAUGCAAUGGUUGUUACUACAAUCUGUUGUUUUUGUUUAUGUGAUGAUAGAAAACGAAAGUGAAAGUAGAGUAUAUAAGUAUAUGUAUUUCUGUUGUCAUGAGGUCAUUAGGUGAAUGCUGUUAUUCGUUUAUAUACAUGUCUUGUAAAUAAAGGAUCUCCUGUCUGACUUACUGGCUCCAGAAUGAAUAAAUAAAUAGAAAGUGAGAAUGAUGUACGCUGCAAAAAUCAUUUAUUGACAAUCUCUAUCGAUAAUUCACUUCCUCUUAGGAUAAAAGUUUACCAGGGAGUCCAGGAGUUUUCCCUCAAUCUGAAAUGAUGAAAUAAAAUGUGUC